GUAAGGAAUACUCGGCUCCAUGUGGGCCAAUACUGGUAAGCAGUACUGGCGAUGCGGAAUGCUCCGAGAGUGUAUGUAAAGUGUCCAAAUCUGAGCUCAUUAGACACCCUAAGGAUGUUGCCUGCUGAAGAUAGCAGGGCGGUGGCCAUGAAGGUUGGAAUCCGCUUAGGAAUGUGUAACAACUCACCUGCCGAAGUGGGCAGCUCCUAAAACUGAUGACGCUAAAGCUUAGUACUUAUCGUAGACCACUGUUAUGAAGGCACAAAAGUCCAAAAUCAGAGUAUCAGUGUGUAAGGAGACAUGGUCGAGACGUAGAAGACUACAAGGGUGACCUAAGUUGGAGUCUCGACCAGUGCAGAUCUUGGUUGCAGUAGCGGAUACUUAGUCAGGAAUUAGUGGCUAACACCACUUGUACGCGAUUGAGGACUGGAGUGGAGCAGGUUUCCCCAUGCAACGUAGUCGCAAGGGGGUUAGUCAAUCGUAAGCCAU
rnacentral:rRNA from 1 species